GGCACAGAUGCGGGUGUCCCCAUGGGGGAAGCAUUUCUCACAAGUCUGUUGGGUCCUUGCCCAUAUAUUUUUAAAUGUAUUUUCUUAGUAGAAUUUCAAACUUAAGAAAAUAUGCACAAAGCAGCCAGAUUCGGGGGGAGGAGGUGGAAGGUGGCCUUACAGUAGAUUACUGAAAUGUUGCUACUUGCUACUUUAAUGGAAAUAAAAAUUCCCUUAAAAUAGCUGAACUCAAAUUCAUCAAUAAGUUUUUCCAUCAGUGUCCAGUCGUUUCUCUUGUACCACUGUCCUCGAGUCCCUAGAGAGCUUGCCCCAUGUUUAGAAAAUCAGGUGCCAUCCCAGAACUACCCAGUCUAUGUUUUAGUAAUAUCUCUCAGUUUGUGGCCUCAGAAUAAAAAUUCGAGAAGCAUCCUUCUUACUAUUCUUUUUUCAUCUGGUAAACAUACAAAUGUAUCUUAUAAAACACAAGACGAAUGAAGAUGUAUGCUCUUGGGUGGAUGCCUUAAUUUCACAUUUUAUCAAGUGCAGCAGAUGCCACCCCUUUUGGAAAUAUGUCGCUCUCUUUCGGUUGGAUAAUAGACUGUGUUAUAAAAGCGACUCACUGAAUAAUGAAGUCACCCAUCUAUAUGAGAGCCACUUCUGUCAUUUCUGCUUCCCUCCCACUAUAAGCUGUGUCAACGAUCACAUGGUCAGCGUGCUGUUUAUUUGCCCAUUCUUAUUUCAGGAACAUUUAACGUUUAGGGAUGUGGCCAUUGACUUCUCUGAAGAGGAGUGGGAGUGUCUGCAGCCUGCUCAGCGGACCUUAUACCAAGAUGUGAUGUCCGAGAACUACCACAACCUGGUCUUCCUAGGUGAGGCUUCAGGAUUUCUAGUUAUCAGUAUCUAAUUUCCUUCCUCUGCAGAAUAGUUGUGGGGAGCUUUUGCUCUGUAUGAAUGAGUUUAAGAUUCUCGCUUUCAAGAAAGACGUUUGGACAGCUUGUGGUUUGUAAUGUCAGUUACAUCUCCACUAAUCUUUCCUCUCUUCC
rnacentral:lncRNA from 1 species